UACGUAGGGCGCGAGCGUUGUCCGGAAUUAUUGGGCGUAAAGAGCUCGUAGGCGGCCCUCUUUGUCGCGUGUGAAAGCCCCGGGCUCAACCUGGGAAUUGCGCGCGAAACGGGGGGGCUGGAGUUCGGGAGAGGAGCGUGGAAUUCCCAGUGUAGAGGUGAAAUUCGUAGAUAUUGGGAAGAACACCGGUGGCGAAGGCGGCGACCUGGUCCUUGACUGACGCUGAGGCGCGAAAGCGUGGGGAGCAAACAGG
rnacentral:rRNA from 1 species